AUUGAACGCUGGCGGCAUGCUUUACACAUGCAAGUCGAAUGGUAACAGGCCGCAAGGUGCUGACGAGUGGCGAACGGGUGAGUAAUGCAUCGGAACGUGCCCAGUCGUGGGGGAUAACUACUCGAAAGAGUAGCUAAUACCGCAUACGAUCUAUGGAUGAAAGCGGGGGACCGUAAGGCCUCGCGCGAUUGGAGCGGCCGAUGUCAGAUUAGGUAGUUGGCGGGGUAAAGGCUCACCAAGCCAACGAUCUGUAGCUGGUCUGAGAGGACGACCAGCCACACUGGGACUGAGACACGGCCCAGACUCCUACGGGAGGCAGCAGUGGGGAAUUUUGGACAAUGGGCGCAAGCCUGAUCCAGCAAUGCCGCGUGCAGGAAGAAGGCCUUCGGGUUGUAAACUGCUUUUGUACGGAACGAAACGGCUCUGGUUAAUACCCGGGGCUAAUGACGGUACCGUAAGAAUAAGCACCGGCUAACUACGUG
rnacentral:rRNA from 1 species